CCCAAGGAUGGGACCGCGGCCGAUCAGGUUGUUGGUGAGGUAAUGGCUCACCAAGCCUUUAACCGGUUCGGGCCGUGGGAGCGGGAGCCCGGAGAUGGGUACUGAGACAAGGGCCCAGGUCCUACGGGGCGCAGCAGUCGCGAAAACUCCGCAAUACGCGAAGGCGUGACGGGGCUAUCCCGAGUGCCGUCCGCUGAGGAUGGCUUUUCCCCAGUGUAGAUAGCUGGGGGAAUAAGGAGAGGGCAAGUCUGGUGUCAGCCGCCGCGGUAAUACCAGCUCUCCGAGUGGUGGGGACGUUUAUUGGGCCUAAAGCAUCCGUAGCCAGCUGAGCGAGUCCCCAGUUAAAUCCAGCGAUUUAAUCGUUGGACUGCUGGGGAUACUGUCCGGCUAGGGGGUGGGAGAGGCCGACGGUAUUCCCGGGGUAGGGGUGAAAUCCUAUAAUCCCGGGAGGACCACCAGUGGCGAAGGCUGUUGGCUAAAACAUGCCCGACGGUGAGGGAUGAAAGCUGGGGGAGCGAACCGGAUUAGAUACCCGGGUAGUCCCAGCUGUAAACGAU
rnacentral:rRNA from 1 species